rnacentral:tRNA from 1 species
UAAAAAUUAGUUAAUGUUAUAUAAUAUAAGCUUGUCAGGCUUAAGUAAUUUAAAAAUAUUUUUAU